rnacentral:lncRNA from 1 species
GAUCUAGUGGAAUAAAUAUAGGGAAUUAUGCCGUACACGGAAGAACAGGAGAACUACUUCAAGCUUAUCACUUUGAUUUACUGUAUAGGGGCAAAUGUAAACCGUGAACUAUUGUACAAGUUUAUUAGCUCAAGGAACAUAACGCUAGAAAAAUUUAUAAAUGAUCAUCAACAUGAAAUGUACCAUUUAUUCUGCAUUGUUAAAUGCUGUCAAUGCAAAACGAAGCCUAUACCGCUAAACGAUUCGGGGGUCAUUAGCCGAGGUCAAAUGCAAUUAGUUUUUGAAUAUCCUUCUAAUGAUCGGCUUGAAAACCACAAACAAGAAAGAACAGGACAAUUGUGUUGUUUGAAGGCAAUUAAAAAUGUAAAACUUAAAGAUUUAGAUUUCACCCUCAUCAAAUUUUUCCUUGUAAAUUUUUGUCAUCAAAUUUUUUGGGAUUGCCUUUUAGAAAAUGUCGAACAGACAUUCUCCGAGUUUCUAGCGCCA